UAAAGGCCUGUGCUGUCAAAUAUCGCUCUGUGGGAUUCAGAGACGAGGAGCUGCUGAAACAUGCAGCCACUUGAAAAAUAACCACCUGAAGCACCAGGAGAAACAGAAGAGCUCAGGAAGGUCAUGACGUAUGUAAUGAGCACAGCGACCUAGGCCAAAAGCGAGAAGACUGGAGUCUUGUGGUGAGGGUAAGGCACUACCAGAUGCAUUCUUCGCGGCAUCUGGAAUAUAAGCCUGGAGUUUAGGUGAAGUCGCAGCUGGAGAAGUAGAACGUGGAUCGGGGAUGGUUAGCAAACCAGUUUCAACAGAUAUUUGAGUGAGAGAACAAGACAGAGUACUAGGAGGGAAAGAAGAG